rnacentral:rRNA from 1 species
CAAAAGCGUAUAUUAAAGUUGUUGCAGUUAAAAAGCUCGUAGUUGAACCUUGGGCUUGGCUGGCCGGUCCAUCUUUUUUGAUGCGUACUGGACCCAGCCGAGCCUUUCCUUCUGGCUAGCCUUUUGGCGAACCAGGACUUUUACUUUGAAAAAAUUAGAGUGUUCAAAGCAGGCCUUUGCUCGAAUAUAUUAGCAUGGAAUAAUAGAAUAGGACGUUAUGGUUCUAUUUUGUUGGUUUCUAGGACCAUCGUAAUGAUUAAUAGGGACGGUCGGGGGUAUCAGUAUUCAGUUGUCAGAGGUGAAAUUCUUGGGUUUACUGAAGACUAACUACUGCGAAAGCAUUUACCAAGGACGUUUUCAUUAA